UACGUAGGUGGCAAGCGUUGUCCGGAUUUAUUGGGUUUAAAGGGUGCGUAGGCGGAUAUGUAAGUCCGUGGUGAAAUCUCUGGGCUUAACCCGGAAACUGCCAUGGAUACUAUGUGUUUUGAAUGUUGUUGAGGUGAGCGGAAUAUGUCAUGUAGCGGUGAAAUGCUUAGAUAUGACAUAGAACACCAAUUGCGAAGGCAGCUCACUAAGCAAAUAUUGACGCUGAGGCACGAAAGCGUGGGGAUCAAACAGG
rnacentral:rRNA from 1 species